CCUACGGGAGGCAGCAGUGGGGAAUUUUGCGCAAUGGACGAAAGUCUGACGCAGCAACGCCGCGUGGGUGAUGAAGGCCCUUGGGUCGUAAAACCCUGUCGAGAGGGAAGAAAUCCAUGAAAGCCAAUACCUUUCAUGGUUGACUGUACCUCUGGAGGAAGCCCCGGCUAACUCCGUGCCAGCAGCCGCGGUAAUACGGAGGGGGCGAGCGUUGUUCGGAAUCAUUGGGCGUAAAGGGCGCGUAGGCGGCAUCACAAGUCAGAUGUGAAAGCCCCUGGCUUAACCAGGGAAUUGCAUCUGAAACUGUGGAGCUUGAAUCCGGGAUGGGAGAGUGGAAUUCCCAGUGUAGCGGUGAAAUGCGUAGAUAUUGGGAGGAACACCGGUGGCGAAGGCGGCUCUCUGGACCGGUAUUGACGCUGAGGCGCGAAAGCUAGGGGAGCAAACGGGAUUAGAUACCCCGGUAGUCCUAGCUGUAAACGUUGGGCACUUGGUGUGGCGGGUAUCGACCCCUGCCGUGCCGAAGCUAACGCAUUAAGUGCCCCGCCUGGGGAGUACGGUCGCAAGGCUGAAACUCAAAUGAAUUGACGG
rnacentral:rRNA from 1 species